ensembl:lncRNA
CGCAAAUCGUUCAUUUUCAAACUUCAACAGCUGAAAAACACCCACUUUUAGCUCUUGGUUUGUUCUAAUGGGUGGAUUGUGUGCAAUCGCUGUAAUAUUUUAUUUUUAUAAGGUCUUAAACAAGAAUAAAUUCGUUUCUUGUGAGCUCGUAGUGCGAGUGCAGGAGAAGCCGCGCGGGCUCGCGCUGUCAAAAGAGCUGACGCAAAUCGUUCAUUUUCAAACUUCAACAGCUGAAAAACACCCACUUUUAGCUCUUGGUUUGUUCUAAUGGGUGGAUUGUGUGCAAUCGCUGUAAUAUUUUAUUUUUAAAAGGUCUUAAACAGGAAUAAACUCGUUUGUUGUGAGGUUUUUGUGAAGCCCCGCGGUCUCGCGUUGUCAAAAUAGCUGACGCAAAUCCUUCAUUUUCCACACUUCAACAGCUGAAAAACACCCACUUUUAGCUCUUGGUUUGUUCUAAUGGGUGGAUUGUGUGCAAUCGCUGGAAUAUUUUAUUUUUAAAAGGUCUUAAACAAGAAUAAAUUCGUUUCUUGCGAGCUCGUAGUGCGAGUGCAGGAGAAGCCGCGCCGUCUCGCGCUGUCAAAAGAGCUGACGCAAAUCGUUCAUUUUCAAACUUCAACAGCUCAAAAAGACCCUCUUUUAGCUCUUGGUUUGUUCUAAUGGGUGGAUUGUGUGCAAUCGCUGUAAUAUUUUAUUUUUUAAAAGGUGGUAAACAAGAAUAAAUUCGUUUCUUGCGAGCUCGUUGUGUCACUGCACGAGAAGCCGCGCCGUCUCGCGCUGUCGAAAGAGCUGAUGCAAAUCGUUCAUUUUCCACACUUCAACAGCUGAAAAACACUCUCUUUUAGCUCUUGGUUUGUUCUAAUGGGUGGAUUGUGUGCAAUCGCUGUAAUAUUUUAUUUUUUAAAAGGUCUUAAACAAGAAUAAAUUCGUUUCUUGCGAGCUCGUUGUGUCACUGCACGAGAAGCCGCGCCGUCUCGCGCUGUCGAAAGAGCUGACGCAAAUCGUUCAUUUUCCACACUUCAACAGCUGAAAAACACCCUCUUUUAGCUCUUGGUUUGUUCUAAUGGGUGGAUUGUGUGCAAUCGCUGUAAUAUUUUAUUUUUAAAAGGUCUUAAACAAGAAUAAAUUCGUUUGUUGUGAGCCCGCUGUGAGACCCCUCGCUGAACGGAGCGGUGAAUUCUCUCUCGUCUUUCUCUCUGUUCUGUGGCCAGAUAUACAUUUUUAAUAAGCCCUGACCCCUGUAAU